rnacentral:rRNA from 1 species
AUUGAACGCUGGCGGCAGGCCUAACACAUGCAAGUCGAACGAGUGGAGGACGGGUGUGUAAUGUCUGGGAAACUGCCUUAUAGAGGGGGAUAACUUCUAGAAACUAUAGAUUAUAACGCAAACCAUCAUAUGUGCACAGAUGGGAUUAGCUGGUAGGUGGGGUAACGGCUCACCUAGGCGACGAACCCUCGCUGGUCUGAGAGGAAGACCGGCCACACUGGAACUGAGACACGGUCCAGACUCCGACGGGAGGCAGCAGUGGGGAAUAUUGUACAAUGGGCGAAAGCCUGAUCCAGCCAUGCCGCGUGUGUGAAGAAGGUCUUCGGAUUGUAAAGUACUUUAAGUUGGGAGGCGUUACCAACAGAAUAAGCACCGGCUAACUUCGUGCCAGCAGCCGCGGUAAUAC